UUAUUGCACACGCGCACUUCAGAGUAGGCGUUCCCUAACGGAAAUAUGCAGCCGUCACUAGAACAUUGGAUAUCGCUAGAGCGUGCUUGGCUCUGCCCUCCUCCUUGCUUGUUCUAGUAUGCCCUCUAUGACUCAUUUGUUCCCAUUGGAAUCGACAAGCUGUGGUCUAUCUUGGUUUAGUUAUACAAAUAUUUGGUUUUGUGCUAAUUUUUACAUUACAUCGACAGCAAGCACCAGGGUCCUGAAACCCUAGCAGAAUCUUCCCUUAGGAACUUUGCCACAUAGAUUCUGGGCAUCCUGUCGGGCAUUGGGGAAUCCCUCCCUGACCAGCUUCAUGAGGUAGUCACAUGGAAUGCGUUUCAAUUAACAGCGGCCUGUGCUUCUUUGAAAAAAACAAAACAACUUUUUGUCAAAAUGGAACUAAAAAUAAGCUGGACUCUAAAACCUUCCAUGGACACUAUUAAAUCAUGUUAUGUAAUUACGAACUCAAACGUAUUGAUGUGAAAGUUGAAUUGUAUUUAUGUUAACUAUUUAUGAUUGUAAAAUGUGAAAAAUGGCAGAUUUGUUUGAAAUACAAUUUAAGCAGGACGAUGACAACUGGAGUAAACCCAUCAAACCAACUCUUGAAGUUUGUAGUUGUCUAUAAAAAAAGUUUCUCAAAAUAUUUUGCUCUAUAUUUUUACUCUUAAGUGUAGAAACUAUAAACGCAACAUGCAACAAUUUCAAAUAUUUUACUGAACAACAGUUCAUA